UACGGAGGGUGCGAGCGUUGUCCGGAAUUAUUGGGCGUAAAGAGCUCGUAGGCGGUCUGUCGCGUCGGUCGUGAAAACUUGGGGCUUAACCCUGAGCUUGCGGUCGAUACGGGCAUGACUGGAGUUCGGUAGGGAAGACUGGAAUUCCUGGUGUAGCGGUGAAAUGCGCAGAUAUCUGGAGGAACACCGGUGGCGAAGGCGGGUCUCUGGGCCGAUACUGACGCUGAGACGCGAAAGCGUGGGGAGCGAACAGG
rnacentral:rRNA from 1 species